UACGGGGGGGGCAAGCGUUGUUCGGAAUUACUGGGCGUAAAGGGCUCGUAGGCGGCCAACUAAGUCAGACGUGAAAUCCCUCGGCUUAACCGGGGAACUGCGUCUGAUACUGGAUGGCUUGAGAGUGGGAGAGGGAUGCGGAAUUCCAGGUGUAGCGGUGAAAUGCGUAGAUAUCUGGAGGAACACCGGUGGCGAAGGCGGCAUCCUGGACCAUCACUGACGCUGAGGAGCGAAAGCCAGGGGAGCAAACGGG
rnacentral:rRNA from 1 species